CUCUUCCUUUGUUUUUCUUGGUUCUCUAUCUCUUGCAAGUCAUCCACCAUGGCUUUAAGUGGAGAUUUCUCCAUUGUUGAACUGGCUGGCUCAUUAAGUGGAGGACCGUAGUUGGUAAAUUGUGCAGCACUAUAUAAACCAAUUCCAGGUGUUGGCAUGAAAAGGAAACUGGAUGAUUGUUCUGGUGGUUGCAUUUCAGAUGGAGGCAUCCCCGAUUGCCUCCUAGGCACGAGUUUUACCUGUAAUAGUGUCAUGACAUCGUAUAUUUAGUGAAAAUUUUAUUUGGCCAGAUUCAUUUAUAACAUGGCAUAGCAAUAGAUGUAAUUACCCUUAAUCUUUCACUCCCCACUUCCCUUAAGCUUCUUUCAUAUGUAUGAUCUACAACCCCACAAGACAAAUCCUAUCACGAGAAUAUAAACUAAUGCACAUUAGAUCAGAUCCCAUGCUAAAAAUUAGAAAACAC
rnacentral:lncRNA from 1 species